rnacentral:rRNA from 1 species
UACGUAGGUGGCAAGCGAUACUCGGAAUCACUAGGCGUAAAGCGCAGGUAGGCGGUUCGGUAAGUCUCUUGUGAAAGCUCCCGGCUUAACUGGGAGAGGCCAAGGGAAACUACCGGGCUUGAGUGUGGUAGAGGAAGCUAGAAUUCCCGGUGUAGCGGUGAAAUGCGUAGAUAUCAGGAGGAACACCGGUGGUGUAGACGGCUUUCUGGACCGUAACUGACGCUGAGACACGAAAGCGUGGGUAGCAAACAGG